GACGAACGCUGGCGGCGUGCUUAACACAUGCAAGUCGAACGGAAAGGCCCCUUUGGGGGUACUCGAGUGGCGAACGGGUGAGUAACACGUGAGUAACCUGCCCUUGACUUCGGGAUAACUUCAGGAAACUGGGGCUAAUACCGGAUAGGAAUCCUUGCUGCAUGGUGGGGGUUGGAAAGCUUCGGCGGUUUUGGAUGGACUCGCGGCUUAUCAGCUUGUUGGUGGGGUAGUGGCUUACCAAGGCGUUGACGGGUAGCCGGCCUGAGAGGGCGACCGGCCACAUUGGGACUGAGAGACGGCCCAGACUCCGACGGGAGGCAGCAGUGGGGAAUAUUGCACAAUGGGCGGAAGCCUGAUGCAGCAACGCCGCGUGCGGGAUGACGGCCUUCGGGUUGUAAACCGCUUUCAGCAGGGGCGAAGCUUGUGGUGACGGUACCUGCAGAAGAAGCACCGGCUAACUACGUG
rnacentral:rRNA from 1 species